rnacentral:tRNA from 1 species
GGAAAGAUGUCCGAGUGGUUUAAGGUGCGCGCUUGGAAGGCGCGUGUACCCAAAAGGUACCGGGGGUUCGAAUCCCCCUCUUUCCG